rnacentral:rRNA from 1 species
GACGAACGCUGGCGGCGUGCUUAACACAUGCAAGUCACGGGGCCGCAAGGCAACCGCGAACGGGUGCGUAACACGUGAGCAACCUGCCUAGAUGUGGGGGAGUAGCCGGCCCAACGGCCGGGUAAUACCGCAUACGGUCACGAGGAGGAGUCUCCUUGUGAAGAAACCUCCGGGGCAUUUAGAGGGGCUCGCGGCCUAUCAGCUAGUUGGUGAGGUAAUGGCUCACCAAGGCUCGACGGUAGCUGGUCUGAGAGGAUGGCCAGCCACAUUGGGACUGAGAUACGGCCCAGACUCCUACGGGAGGCAGCAGUGGGGAAUCUUGCG